AACGCGAAGAACCUUACCUGGGCUCGAAAUGUAGUGGACCGGGGUGGAAACAUCCCUUCCCCGCAAGGGGCCGCUAUAUAGGUGCUGCAUGGCUGUCGUCAGCUCGUGCCGUGAGGUGUUGGGUUAAGUCCCGCAACGAGCGCAACCCUUACCCUUAGUUGCCACCCGCAAGGGGGAACUCUAAGGGGACUGCUCCGGAUAACGGAGAGGAAGGUGGGGAUGGAGGUCAAGGUCAGCAUGGCCUUUAUGUCCAGGGCUACACACGUGUUACAAUGCAUGGUACAGACCGUUGCAAACCCGCGAGGGGGAGCGUAACCGGAAAAAACCAUGACUCAGUUCGGAUUGCAGUCUGCAACUCGACUGCAUGAAGCUGGAAUCGCUAGUAAUGGCGUAUCAGAACGACGCCGUGAAUACGUUCCCGGGCCUUGUACACACCGAGACGAC
rnacentral:rRNA from 1 species